rnacentral:lncRNA from 1 species
CCCUUUUAGACCAGCUUCGUGAAUGAGGCCUACUAACGGUAAGACUGACUUUUACUCAUACAUAUAUAUAAUAUUAGACUUUUAAUGUUAUAUAUAGUAUAGGGUGUAUUUUACACUUUUAAAAUACUAGGUGGUCAAAUUUAAUAUUUAUACUUUUAAUUUAAUUAAAUUGUAAACCAAAACUUUAUGUAUUUAUUAAAUCUCUUUUAAUUAUACACUUUAAUUAAUUAAUAAAACCAUAAUGGUGUGAUUUGAACUUUUCAAAAUACUAUGGUUUUACGUUUUUAUUGAUUCCGAUUUAUUUUCCUUCAAAAAGGCUAAAAAAAGACGAAGGGUAGGCGUAGGUGUCCUUUUGAACUUGGAUGGUUCAAUUAUGUUGGACUCACAACAAAACAAAACGGACUAAGUAAAUACUUAAGCUGAAUUCGAAACAAUUCGCAAAGGUGCGUAUAUUUUGUAAGGUAUUCCUAUGAGGUCUAACAGAUGCAUUCAUAGAAUAUCAUAGCUGAGUACUUAGUAUUCUGAGAUAAACUUCAGACAUGAUUUAUGUUUCUGAUACUUAUAGUUUCAUGAGAAUUUGUAGUAAAUAUUCGCUAAGUAUUCGUCAAUGUUCACUAAAAAUUUCGAGAAUUUUUAAGCGUUUUUGAAUUGUGAUUUUCCUUAAAUAUUAUGGAUUCCGAGUGGUUUAGUCUAUCAACAACCGAAUCCAAGCUUAAUUGUUCAUCGGUCCAACGAUAACUAAAUAUAGGUGAUCAGUCUAUGUCUAGUUGUGGUCCGGCCCACAUACAAUCAACUUAGCUAAGGCGUUUGACCUAAAACCUUUCUUUGUAUUAUUAUUCGACGGUUCGAGUUUAUAUAGCUCUAUAUUGAUGGGGUUAAGGAAUAUACCUAACCUAAAAGAGUAAGCCCUAGGCUAUAGUUGUGUUUUCCUAAGAAAGUACUAGUUCGCUAUAGCCAAUAGCUCUGAUACCAAUCUGUCACACCCUCGACCGACGGCGGAAACGCCGAGGUGCAUGACGUAAACCAGUAAUCACAGUUAUUGAACAUACAUUGAACAAUAGAAAUAUAAUCUUUUAUUACUACCGAAAUGGAAAUUACAUUGACAAUAGUUAUUGCUGAAACGCUACACACGCCUAACAAUCCGGCGUUCACAUUUGUAUGAUAAGAAUAUCGGAGAAUCUUCUGUAGAAACUCUUCUGACCUUAUAAAUAACCUGAGAAUACAUGCAUUAAAAUACGUCAACAAAAAUUGUUGGUGAGUUCUACAGGUUUUGACACAAAGUAUUUUUACACCCAAAAAUGUUUUAUAAAAUUUAUCUGGUUGACCAGCUUUUAUAAACACAUAUUUUUCUAUCGAAAGUAUAAAAUAAUUGCGUCAUAAAAGUAUAUUUAAACUCAUUUAGAAAUGUCAUUUUCUCAAAUCCAAAAAUACACCAUUUGUAAAAUAUAUAAGUAAACCAAACUUAUAACAAAUUCUUACGGUUCUCAUGACCGAAAUGCUCUUUAUAUAAAGAUUUUGAAACCAAUUUAUAUAAAUAAAGUCAUAUCACACUUUGUGUAAACAUAAAAUAGCCAAGUUUUCUCUUAAAACUUUGUACAAACGUUCGUAUAGUUUAUAUGUAAAACUCAAAAUUUUGAAUUUUAUAAACUUUGUAAAUCCGUGUCAUAUUAUUAAUUAAGCAUUAUCUUACUUAAUUUGGAAAUCAACACUUAACCAGUGGGGCAAACUCAUCCCAAAAUACUUUUCAAUAACCGGUAAAUUAUAAAUGCAUAUUUUUACCACUCGUAUAAUUUCAACGACAAAUAUUAACCAUUAUCUUUACAAUUAUAUUCUUUCAAACGUCUCUGCUUACGGAGAAUUGAGUCGUAGGGAGAGGUAGUUAAAUACCUAAACACUCUUACACACUCGGCCCAAAUUGGGAGGAUUGACUCAAUCUAGAUCUAUACUUCUUCGAAUAAAAUCUUCAAUAUAUCAAUUUGUCUAUAACCGACACUAUUCGUCGCUCCUCCACAAGCCAAAAAGGCACAAUAAACAAGCCACACAGGCACAAUAUAAAUAUAAAUGGAGGAAUCGAGAUCAUUACUAACGUUUAAAAGCAGUCGUAUAGUAACGAAGAAAGAAACACUUGACGCCUGUUGCCUCGUCAGACGAAGUUGUAGCUAGCAACCACAGACGGAAAAUAACCAUUAGCAUAAAUCUUUCCAUAAGAAAUAGAUCUACACCAAGGUUCUUUAUUAUAAAUCUAUGUCGUGUACAUAAACCUACAGUAUAUGAUUCCUCAUGGAUUAACGAUUAUAGAGCUAGGUGUCGAUUCCAGGAUUUGAUCCUUACAAAGGAAAAAUACACCAUCAUAAAACUCUCUCUUUCACCCCUUUCGAUACAUUCCUCCCACAAACACACACGGGAUACACAAUCCACAAAAAUCCAUGACGAUAGUUCUUCAACUCAUAAAAUUCGUCGUUCACUAGGGUCACUAACGUGAAUCUUAGAUUAUUAAGAUUUUCGAAGCUUAGUGAAAUUAGUUAAAUAGUGAAAUUAACAUAGCAUUCAACUAUUGUGGCGAUAAUAAUUUGAAUAGUUCCUUACUUCAGCCGAUAAGGAGGAUGUUCGUUCGCGUAGCCGAAUACUCACUUAUGUCGAUGUUCGAUAAGUUGCAUAAUUUAUAUGAUAUAUAAUUUAAUAGGUAAUAAUCCCCAAAAAUCCGAGAAUUAAUUAUAUUAUCAUAUGUGAUGAGCUUCGUAUCAUAUCACAGCUAAAUGAUUUAUAUUUUUAUAAUAAUUAUAAAGAUAAAUUAUAUCGUUUACCUAGUAAUCGUUUCCACAUUAUGAUCGGGAGUAUAAUAAUAAUAAUAAUUGAUUUUUGUUAUAUUUUCAAUUAAUUAUUAUAUAUUUGUCAAAUCUUUGUUUAUAGUCGUUUAAGACAAUGUACAUUUUCGUUGUACACAAUUUAUUUGAAUAACAUAUUUUGUUAUGUAUAUAAUUUUAUGUUUUCUCAAUAUUCUCGUGUACAUAUAUACGAAGAGUAUUACAGUUAUAAUUCAUCGAAUAACUUAUAUCUUCAUAUCAAUCUACUUAUAAUCAUGUGAUUUUUAUUAAUAUUAAUUAAUAUAUCACUACAAGGUAUAAAUAUAUCAUUUAUAGCAUUCUACUAUUACUUAUAUAAUUUAUUAAUGCUUUAUACCUUUUAGAUUGUUAUCAUCAUAAAAUCUUAACCAAUAAUAAAGUAUAAUGUUAUUUUAUGUAUAAAAACUUAAAAAUCAUCAAAACUUUAAAUAGACACUCAUGUAUUCUCCCCCAAAAUUAAAACUGUAAAAGAUAGGCCGCAGAAACUCACAUUUGAUGCGUGAUCUCGAUCUAGGCUCGCUUCGUGAAGCUUGUCGUGAGAAACCGCAACUUAACCACUUUUGGACUUCAAAAUAUUUUUGGGUUUGUUUGGUAAAAUAUCAAACUCAAAGAAUUUCUUUUUGUAUUGAAUUAAACCAAAAGGGACUAUUUUUGAUCUUUUAAAAAUAGCAUAAGGACCAUUUUGUAAAGACUAAGUCCAAUAUGAUUUGCCUUGAAAGGAUUUAUGUGAAAAGGGUCAGUUUUAAUUUAAAGGAUUAAACACAGGGACUGUAUGUGUCAAAUCCAUCAGAUGGACAAAAGGAACGCGUCUUCUUAGUUCAUUCAUUAGGUCGACCAAUGGAAAAGGAACGGACNNN